GAGGGAGAAACUUAGCGAACUAAGCGCGCUAUCAUAUCAAGGGGGCAAACUCGUUCUCGGCGAUUAAUAAGUUAAGAGCAAGCCUGAUUCCACCAAGAAGAUGUCGGGAGGGUCAGGAAAUUCGUCAACGGAUAAGGAUUAUGGCAGUAGAUGUAAUUGUACGAUUCUGUAAAAAAGCGCUCAGGAGGAACUUCAAGAGCAAAACGGACUAAGAGAAUUGAUGAGGAACUUGAUGAUGCUUCAAGAAACCGAAGAAUUAUCUCUUUGAACUGUUCUUGUGUUCUUCACGCAUACAAGCAUUAGAUGUUGAAAGCAAAAAACAGCGUUGACAGUAGAGAUUUUGUAAUUUUGUCAGAGUUCACCACAGUAUCUUUAGGAACAGUUGUUUGUAUACUCUUCGCACUUAAAAUGAUGCCACGUAGAUUUUGAAUAAAUGUAACACUUGUUUUCUUCGUGCACAUAA